CUGAGCCACCCGGGUGCCCCAGGACCUACGUGUCUCUUAGCCCAUGCUUGGCUUUAAGUCAGGUCUACUGAGCCCCUCCGAGAAGAGGAAGUGACCCAUCAACUCCUGAACUCUAAUGGUCGAAGGUCCUUUCUGGGGCGUUCACUCCAGUGGCCGGUAACCAUUCUCAGGUCCAAGGAGGAGGUCAUCACCGCACCCAGCAGGUGACCCCUGCGGCUGGCCAGAGGGGCGUGGGCAAGGUGCCAGUCAGCAGCGACCACUGUGACUGUAAAGGCACCAGCCACCCAGGUGGGUUUGCAGUUUGCCGCUCACAGGGCCUGCCUUGCCCACAGGACUCCGAGUUCCCGGGGGCCGAGACUGCCACCAAUUUAUCCCCCGGUGCCUGGCAGGUUGGAAACAUCCAGAAAGCAUGGUCACUCGCAACUUCUAUCCAACUUGGCUAUAAAUCAGAGGCUCCACGGACCCUCUCCUUGGAUUCGAUUGUUUGCCAGAACAGCUCUCGGAACUCAGGGACACGCUAUGUUUACUGACCAAUGACAUAAUAAGGAGACAGAUGCAGAAGCUCAGAUACACAGCGGAAGGAGCCACGUGACUGCAGAGAGAAGGAGGCCGAGGUCGGAGUGACGUGUGUCCAAAUCGAGGAUUGGCCAGGGUCGCUGCCACAAGCAGGAGCCAGAAGAAGCAGGGAAGGCUGCUUCCCCAGGGCCCUGAGAGAGAGAGAACAGCCCUGCUUUAACUUCAGACUUCUGGCCUCCAGAAUCAUAAGAGAAUAAGUUCCUCUUGUUUGAAGUCA